UACGUAGGGUGCGAGCGUUAAUCGGAAUUACUGGGCGUAAAGCGUGCGCAGGCGGUUAUAUAAGGCAGAUGUGAAAUCCCCGGGCUCAACCUGGGAACUGCAUUAGUGACUGUAUAGCUAGAGUGCGGCAGAGGGGGAUGGAAUUCCGCGUGUAGCAGUGAAAUGCGUAGAUAUGUGGAGGAACACCAAUGGCGAAGGCAGCCCCCUGGGCCGAUACUGACGCUCAUGCACGAAAG
rnacentral:rRNA from 1 species